CAGUCACUGCCAGCCAUAUCAUAGCACUGAAAAAAUAACACAUAUUUUAAGCUUUUUUUUAAGUACAACAGAAGAUUUGACGAUAUUUGUAUUUUAAUCAUAUAGCGUGACGUUUUACUACAAGGAGAUACAAUGCAUUUUACAUUACAAAAGCGAAAUAAGACGUGGAUGCCAGCUAUCAACUUGAGCAUCGUGGGAUUGGUGGUUUAUAUUAUGGCCUGCCCUGUGUCCAGUAUGGAUGUCCUGGUCCAUAACCAGAUCAACGUCCUAAACGGCACCAUGGUGAGGAUCCAGUGCAUAUUCACUUCCUGCUACAAGAUGGACGUCAACAAGUUUGCCAUGAACUGGACCUACCAGGAGAACACCAACGAGACUGAGGAGAUGUUCAUGACCUAUAAGAAGGGGAUGAUGCCCCUGCGGACAGACCGGUUCAGUGACCGAGUGCAGUUUGUGGGUAACCUGGAAAAGAACGACUUGUCCAUCACCCUCUCUGAUGUCCAGCUGUCGGACGAGGGCGUCUAUAACUGCUACGUCCGUAACCCCCCCGACCGCAUCCAGGGCCACGGAAUCAUCAACAUGUUUGUCGUCACAGAAUUGCCUCCCCCGCGGGACUCGACCAUAGCGGUUGCGAUCGGGGCGUCAGUCGGCGGUGCGCUGGCUCUGCUCAUCCUGUCCAUGGUGGUGGUGAAGUGCAUACGGCGUCACAAGAAACAGGAGCUCAUCUCUGACGAGCAGAAGAUGGAGGAAGAGGGCAAGCUGGAUGCAGAGGGGGGCCCCGAGGAGGGAACCAAGCAGCUAUAACCGGCCUGCAUGGUCCUGGAGGCCCAAGGUUCGCUGGAGCCCAACCUCCUCCCUCACACUGGAAAGCAUUCCUGCCUGAAGAUGUAUAGUGACCCUUGCUUGAAUCCUCGUCCAGCAUCUGCCUCAGCCCACGCCGCCUCCCUUCCUUCCUCUUGUCCAUCCAAACAAGAUUGCAGUUAUGGGAAGCCCCAGCCACCAGCCACGCCACCCACGCCACCCCUGCCUCUAUCUUCAGUCAGUCUUAUCUCCUCUCUUCUUCGACGGGGGGGCACAAAAGGUGUAGGAGACUAGUAGACGGCAGUCUCCAAACGACAUUCCUCUUUCCCCUUUUUCUCGCUUGUGGUUUAGCUUAAGAUAGAGAUGUAAGACCUUAAUUUGAUCCCCCUGUAGCAGCAUAACUUUCCCACAAUGCAGUAUGUUUAAAAUGUGUAUUGUAUUGGAGGUUUUAAAAGGCUUCUGAAGUUUUCCCUAAUGGAAAAUGCAUCAACUCUUAGAAAAAGAUCAAUUCAUUCUAAUCCACAUAAUCAUUCACAUUUCCUGUUGCUGCAGGACUAUUUUCCUGCUGUAGAAAACUGGCUCAAAUUAAGAUCCUACAUCUGUAGCGUAAAUGGAUGGUUUGACACCCGUGAUUACUGGGAAAGAUCCUGCUCUCUCUUUCUCUCUCUCUCUCUCGCUCUCUCUCGCUUUCUCUGUAUCACUCUCUUAAAUUGUUGUCUUCUAACUUGCCACACCAUUGGAUAGCAAAUGAUUUACUUCCAAAUCAUAUAAUUCUCUCUCGCUCUCGCUUGCUCUCGCUCGCUCACUCUCUCUCGCUCUAAUUUUCUUGCUCUAUCACAUUACUUAGCGAUGCAUAAUGGCUGGGGCAAAAAAGUUCCCUUUUUUUCUGACAGCUCGUGUGUGUGUGUGUCCAAAUUCUACCUUUCUGUGUGGGAAUGGUGUGGGUGGAUUUUUGGCUGUGUGUGUUAGUUUUUAUGUACAGGGUAUAAGCUGAAUGACCUUCAGACGUAACUACGAGCAGUGUGGGUGUAUACACGUGUGUGUGUGUGUGUGUGUGUGUGUGUGUGUGUGUGUGUGUGUGUGUGUGUGUGUGUGUGUGUGUGUGUGUGUGUGUG